GCGGGGCAGCGGCGCGGCCUAGGCGGACGGCUCGACCCUCUCCCGGCUCCUCUUGGCCUCGCCGGCUCUCACCUCCGCGUCCCCCGCGCGGGUCCCGGCUUCCCACAGCGCCCCGAGCCCCGCACCUGCCCCAGCCGCUUCGGGCCCCAACCGCCGCAAGUCGGACCGGAGAGCGCGGAGAGCGCGGGCAGCGACGGCACGGCUCCGACCCCGCCACCCGGCCCGGCCCAGCCCUCCGGCCACUCCCUCCCGCCGCCGGGGACGACGGGUGCCUACGCGGCACCUUCCCGCGGCGCGACAGGAGCUGCCGAGCCCCGGCGCCGUGGAUCGGCCCCUCCGAACACCGCAGGCGGACCGACCGAACUGGCGCGGCGGAGAAGCAGCGACCCGAACCCCGCCGGAGACAACCAGGGCUCCCGCCUGUCCUGCUGCCGACUACAACUCCCGGCAGCCUCUGCGGCGAGGCGCGUGCGCACUGCUGCGCUGCGCUGUGAGCCUGCCCCCCGCCACGCGUUGCCACGUCUCCCGCAGCGGGGCCGGGGGCGUGCUUCCGCCCGAGCGGAGGGCGGUAUCCGCCCGUCUCUGAAAUGGCGGUGCGGAGUCUGGUGCUGGUAGUGCCACGUUUGCAGAUUCAGUCGCUAUGGCAAAAUACAGCCGUGAAAAGCCGUGUAAUCAUAACGUGAGAAGACGCUUAGCCACCGUCUGAAAAGUUUAACUGGUCAGCUCCAAUGCACUGCAGCUUGGAUGUUCACAAGCCUCUGUGUGACGCAAACUGUGCUCAGCAGCAGAACGUAACCCACGCUGGCCUUCCACACCAGACUGCGGAAGGACAGAGUCAGCUGAUAAUUAGCUUUUCUGGGAUAAAUUCAGCUAAGAAUGUGGAUCAGAUCCUGCUCACUGAUGCAAAUCAUUUGGAGCAACACAAUACUCAGGACAGCCACAAUUGGAACAAUGAAACAGUCUUCAUUUUCAGCUACAGAGCAUGCCUCAGUCACUCUACCUCCAGACUAAUUCUGAUCAGAAAUUUAAGAUGCUGAUGAGCUAAGGAAAAGAAGCCAGACAUACUCAACAG
ensembl:lncRNA